CACAUCUUCAAGACACACUCGACGCCCACAUGCUUUUCUUCAGCCAAUUCACGGAAAAAGUGGCCCAUCCCUUUUCGAGAGGUAGGUGUAGGAGGCGGGCAGAUGCACAUUGACCGGGCAGUUGCUGGCGGCCUCCAUCUGGGUGAAAUCAUUCUGAUGAACCUGGGAGCUCACCGUUGGUCGGUCAGAAGGAGCUCAGCUCAAAAAAUAGCUUUGGCUGGUCCCAGAGACGAGGACAGCUGAAUGGUUGGUUCUGUGAGGCUUGAGACUGCAAAAUAAGUUUGGAGGGUGGUGGGAGGUGGGAGGCUGGAGGAAGGGGCAUUUCUGGGUCUGUUGGGUCGAAACACUGUGGAAGCAAAAGACAGAUCCCCGAGACUGCUGCCGCCACUCUUAAAAAAAACAUGCAGGAAGUUGUGGCUCCGUGGGUUAAGAACCAGACUAGUAUCCAUGAGGAUGCGAGUUCCACCUCUGACCUCACUCAGUGGGUGAAAGCAUGUGGCGUUGCUGUGAGCUGUGGUGCUGGUCGAAGACUCAGCUUGGAUCCCAAAUGGCUUCGGCUCCUAUUGGACCCCGUGGCCUGGGAACUUCCGUAGGCUGCGGGUGUGGCCCUAAAAAGACAAAAAAUAGACCUUUUUUUAAAAAAGGGAAGGAAGCAUAGGAGCAAAACAUCAUGACAUUGGAUUUGGCAAUGACCUCUCAGCUUGGCUGUGACAGCUGAAGCACAGGCAAUAAAGAGAAAGUAGAUAAGUGACACCACAUCUAAAUGUUUGUGUUCUCUGCAUCCAAGGACACCAUCAGUAGACUGAAAAGACACGAUGGGAGAAUAUAUUUGCAUCUCAUAUGUCUGAUAAGGAAUUAAUAUUAGAUGUGGGACCUUACUCCUCCAACCCAACCAGGACAAAAAACAGCCCCCUGCAAAAGUGGGCCACAGACUUGAAUAGACAUUUCUGCAGGGAAAAGAUACAACUGAGCCCAUGAAAAGAUGUCCCUGGCAGGUUGCCAGGAGCGGGAGGAGGGGGCAGGGGGGAGGGAGGAGGUUUUGUUUAAUGGGUACAGUUUCUGUUUGGGAUGCUGAGGAGCUCUGCAAAUAGUGGCAAUGGCUACUACCCCAUGGUAGGUGUAAUUAAUGUCACACUAAAAUAUGGUUUUAGUGUGACCAUUGGACUUUUUUUUUUUUUUUUGCUGUCAGCCUACACCACAGCCACAGCAAUGCGGGAUCCAAGCCGCAUCUUCGACCUACACCACCGCUCACGGCAACACCAGACACUUAACCCACUGAGCAAGACCAGGGAAUGAACCUGUGUCCUCAUGGAUGCUAGCCAGUUUCAUUUCUGCUACGUGCCAGGCCUUCUUAAGCUUGGGUCUGGAGCAGCAUCGCAUCACUGCUGCCACAUUCUACUGGUUAAAGCAGGUCACUGGGGCACAUUGAAAGGAAGGGACAGACACAGGAUGUGAAUAGACUAGCCCAGUAGGUGUGUGUGUUUCUAUGGCAACCUGCUUGAGGAGCGGAGUCCCUAGUUCCUACUUUCAUGGUCACAGGAGAUAAUCCCUACGGUGGAGGGGUGCUUUUGCACUGUCGUUUCAGAGACUUUCCUGGAGAUGUAGUAGCCCAGGGCCCACUCCUGCAACCCUUCCUGAUGUUCCCGAGUCUGGACUCACACUGCUCCACUGCAUGGCAGGCCAGUGAAGCAAGAGAUGAUUUGCUGGGGCAAGGAAUAGUGACUCUUUUUUUUUUUUUAUGGCUGCCCGGUGGCCUGUGGAGUUCCCAGGCCAGGGAUCAGAUCCCAGGCACAAUCACUACCUAAGUCGCAGCUGCGGCAAGGCCGAAUCCUUAACCCACUGUGCCAGGCUGGGGAUUGAACCUGUGUUCCAGGACUCCCAAGAAGCCAAUGAUCCCACUGCACCACAAUGGAAACUCCAGAAAUAGCAACUUUAUUUGGAAAGCCAGUAGAAUGAGAAGGUGGAUUCCUGUCUCCAUUUUCCUCCAGUUAGUAUUCAGGCUUCUUUGAUACUGAAAGGGGAGGGGGUGUGGUUGAUCGUUGCAAACUUCUUUUUUUUUUUUUUUUUUGUCUUUUUUUGCCUUUUCUAGGGCUGCACCCACAGCAUAUGGAAAAAAAAAGACAAAAAGACAAAAAAUAAAUAAAAUAUUCUUUCCAUUAUGGC
ensembl:lncRNA